CCUACGGGAGGCUGCAGUGAGGAAUAUUGGUCAAUGGGAGAGAUCCUGAACCAGCCAAGCCGCGUGAGGGAAGACGGCCCUAUGGGUUGUAAACCUCUUUUGUCGGAGAACAAAACCCGGGACGUGUCCCGGACUGCGUGUAUCCGAAGAAAAAGCAUCGGCUAACUCCGUGCCAGCAGCCGCGGUAAUACGGAGGAUGCGAGCGUUAUCCGGAUUUAUUGGGUUUAAAGGGUGCGUAGGCGGAUCGUUAAGUCAGUGGUCAAAUUGAGGGGCUCAACCCCUUCCCGCCAUUGAAACUGGCGCUCUUGAGUGAGCGAGAAGUAUGCGGAAUGCGUGGUGUAGCGGUGAAAUGCAUAGAUAUCACGCAGAACUCCGAUUGCGAAGGCAGCAUACCGGCGCUCAACUGACGCUGAGGCACGAAAGCGUGGGGAUCGAACAGGAUUAGAUACCCUGGUAGUC
rnacentral:rRNA from 1 species